rnacentral:tRNA from 1 species
GGGGCUGUAGCUCAGUGGUCGAUCACCUGCCUUUGUACGUAUGAGGCACUGAGUUCGAUCCUCAGCACCACA